rnacentral:lncRNA from 1 species
UCCUUCUUCUUGCCCUUCCCUUUGCCUCUGCCUUCUUUGCGCUCGGACAUCUCGCCGGAGACGGAGCGCUCUACGCGGAGCCCGGAGUUCCAACAAGUUUCGGGGAACUCCUCGCCGGCUCUUUUUCAAUUGCCGCGGCUGCCGGGAACCCCCGACAGGGGUCGCUGGAUUUCUUGGACAGUUAAAACAUUUAUGAGAUUUAUCAAGAAUUUGAUAUUGUCCUUAAAUUAUUCAUCUCUGUGGUCA